AACGAACGCUGGCGGCAGGCUUAACACGUGCAAGUCGAACGGAUCCUUCGGGAUUAGUGGCAGACGGGUGAGUAACGCGUGGGAACGUACCCUUUGCUACGGAAUAACUCAGGGAAACUUGAGCUAAUACCGUAUGUGCCCUACGGGGGAAAGAUUUAUCGGCAAAGGAUCGGCCCGCGUUGGAUUAGCUAGUUGGUGGGGUAAUGGCCUACCAAGGCGACGAUCCAUAGCUGGUCUGAGAGGAUGAUCAGCCACACUGGGACUGAGACACGGCCCAGACUCCUACGGGAGGCAGCAGUGGGGAAUAUUGGACAAUGGGCGCAAGCCUGAUCCAGCCAUGCCGCGUGAGUGAUGAAGGUCUUAGGAUUGUAAAGCUCUUUCACCGGUGAAGAUAAUGACGGUAGCCGGAGAAGAAGCCCCGGCUAACUUCGUG
rnacentral:rRNA from 1 species